GAAUAUUGCGCAAUGGAGGAAACUCUGACGCAGCGACGCCGCGUGCGGGAUGAAGGCCUUCGGGUUGUAAACCGCUUUCAGUAGGGAAGAAGCGAAAGUGACGGUACCUACAAAAGAAGCACCGGCUAACUAUGUGCCAGCAGCCGCGGUAAUACAUAGGGUGCAAGCGUUGUCCGGAAUUAUUGGGCGUAAAGAGCUCGUAGGUCGUUUGUUACGUCGGAUGUGAAAAUCUGAGGCUCAACCUCAGACCUGCAUUCGAUACGGGCAAACUAGAGUUUGGUAGGGGAGACUGGAAUUCCUGGUGUAGCGGUGGAAUGCGCAGAUAUCAGGAGGAACAUCAACGGCGAAGGCAGGUCUCUGGGCCAAUACUGACACUGAGGAGCGAAAGCGCGGGGAGCGAACAGGAUUAGAUACCCGGGUAGUC
rnacentral:rRNA from 1 species